UACGUAGGGUGCAAGCGUUAAUCGGAAUUACUGGGCGUAAAGCGUGCGCAGGCGGUUUUGUAAGUCUGUCGUGAAAUCCCCGGGCUCAACCUGGGGAAUUGCGAUGGAGACUGCAAGGCUAGAAUCUGGCAGAGGGGGGUAGAAUUCCACGUGUAGCAGUGAAAUGCGUAGAGAUGUGGAGGAACACCGAUGGCGAAGGCAGCCCCCUGGGUCAAGAUUGACGCUCAUGCACGAAAGCGUGGGGAGCAAACAGG
rnacentral:rRNA from 1 species